UACGUAGGGUGCGAGCGUUGUCCGGAAUUACUGGGCGUAAAGAGCUCGUAGGUGGUUUGUCGCGUUGUUCGUGAAAACUCACAGCUUAACUGUGGGCGUGCGGGCGAUACGGGCAGACUGGAGUACUGCAGGGGAGACUGGAAUUCCUGGUGUAGCGGUGGAAUGCGCAGAUAUCAGGAGGAACACCGGUGGCGAAGGCGGGUCUCUGGGCCGAUACUGACACUGAGAAGCGAAAGCGUGGGGAGCGAACAGG
rnacentral:rRNA from 1 species